UUUAUGGAGAGUUUGAUCCUGGCUCAGGAUGAACGCUGGAGGCGUGCCUAAUACAUGCAAGUCGAGCGAACGGACGAGAAGCUUGCUUCUCUGAUGUUAGCGGCGGACGGGUGAGUAACACGUGGAUAACCUACCUAUAAGACUGGGAUAACUUCGGGAAACCGUAGCUAAUACCGGAUAAUAUUUUGAACCGCAUGGUUCAAAAGUGAAAGACGGUCUUGCUGUCACUUAUAGAUGGAUCCGCGCUGCAUUAGCUAGUUGGUAAGGUAACGGCUUACCAAGGCAACGAUGCAUAGCCGACCUGAGAGGGUGAUCGGCCACACUGGAACUGAGACACGG
rnacentral:rRNA from 1 species